CAGGCAUCCUCUUGGCUGCCCAAGUCCUAGAGAUGCUUACUCUUCUCCAGCUGGGAGGUUGUCUUCAAUCCGCCUGAUGAACCUCAUCCUGAUUUCUGUCACGCCAUCUCCCUUCAGAGUGUCCUGGACAAACUUGGCCUCCACAGCCAUCUGGACCUGAGGAAUAGAAUGGACAGAUGCCAAACCAUAGCCUGUGGGACCCCUCAGUGAAGCUAGAGACAGGAUUGCCAGCCCCAAUACUCUAACACCAAAGACAGUGACACCGCAAGCAAGCAAGAGCCCUCAAGCCUCUUAGACUGUGACCAGGUAACCAGUGGGAGACAGGGCUACCGUCCACGUUUGCAGGGAGCAGCACUGUCUCGGCAGUGUCAGGAAGGAGGGACUGUGCCUAGGCAGAGGUGUCUGACUUGGAUCUUGUCUCGGCAGCACGAUUCCCUUGGAGGCUGGGUAAGCCAAAGCCCUUUCUCUCCUCCUCUCAGCCAUGCAGCUACCAAACAGCCAGCGAGCUCGGAUGCUGUAGGAGGUAGAGAUGCUCUACUCACCAUCUCCAGGGCUCCCCGCAACACCCCACACAGGAGGUUGGAGUAAAUGAGGGCCGAGUGGUUAUCGGGAAGCUCCACAAAGUCCACCAGAGGGUUGUUUUCCAGGAUGAGGGAGAAUUCAUCUCCGGCUGGGCUCCAGUUGGUGAUGCUUGGAGUGAUGCCCAGGUACAUCUUGAACGCCACCUGUCGGGGACACACAACAGCACAAUGGGGAACGGUGACAACUAUGCCAUUGGGAAGGGG